rnacentral:rRNA from 1 species
UACGGGGGGAGCAAACGUUGUUCGGAAUCACUGGGCGUAAAGGGCGCGUAGGCGGCCUUCUAAGUCGAACGUGAAAUCCCCGGGCUCAACCCGGGAACUGCGUCCGAUACUGGAAGGCUUGAAUCCGGGAGAGGGAUGUGGAAUUCCAGGUGUAGCGGUGAAAUGCGUAGAUAUCUGGAGGAACACCGGUGGCGAAGGCGACAUCCUGGACCGGUAUUGACGCUGAGGCGCGAAAGCCAGGGGAGCAAACGGG